rnacentral:rRNA from 1 species
CCUAUGGGUGGCAGCAGUGGGGGAUAUUGCACAAUGGGGGGAACCCUGAUGCAGCGACGCCGCGUGGGUGAAGGAGUGCUUCGGCAUGUAAAGCCCUAUCGGCAGGGAAGAAGCAAGACGGUACCUGACUAAGAAGCCCCGGCUAACUACGUGCCCGCAGCCGCGGUAAUACGUAGGGGGCGAGCGUUAGCCGGAUUCACUGGGUGGAAAGGGAGCGUAGGCAGGCACGUAAGGCAGGGGUGAAAGCCCGGGGCCCAACCCCGGGACUGCCCUUGGAACUGAAUGGUUGGAGUGCGGGAGGGGCAGGCGGAAUGCCUGGUGUAGCGGUGAAAUGCGUAGAUAUCAGGAGGAACACCGGGGGCGAAGGCGGCCUGCUGGACUGUGACUGACGUUGAGGCCCGAAGGCGUGGGGAGCAAACAGGAUUAGAUACCCGUGUAGUC